GCUUAAGGUGGUCUUCCACCCAAAUUUUCCAAUAUUCGUUAUUUUUUAGAAAAACGUAAAAAUGUAGUCUUUAUAGCGUUCUUUAUAAAAUCCGUGUAAUUUUAAGAACGAAAAUGUACCGUAAACCAGAGAAAUCCAGCAAAUUCUACACCUUCGUAGGGUAAAACCACGAUUUUACCCGGAGCGAUAAAAAUAUGCGAUUGGUUUAGUCUAUUGUUCCAUUUUCAAUUAUAUUGUUCUAUCUAAGUUAUUCUAAUAUAUGCAAAAACUUUAAAAUCGCUUUUCUCACAUGAGCAUUUUGCGAAAUACUAAAAACUCUCCUACUGUUCAUACUGAAUCAAUUCGUUCGAAAUUUUCAGAGUUUAUUUGCUUGUUACAUAGCCAUGUCAUGGACCUAAAAAACUUCAUAUAUCAGCAAUAUACAUUGCAAGAGUAGCCUUAUAAGAACUCCUUUCUUCAUAUAAUUUUAAAAAAGUAAAAUAUGAAGGCCUUAUUAUAUUACUUGUAUAUUUUUUUAGGUUCAUGACAUAGAUCGAUGUAUUAAGUGUCCAUUAAAGCUGUUUCUAAAAUCCUCGGUAAAUUAGUUUGGCUCACAUCAUUUUUGGAGCAAACCCUAUAUUUUACCCUAUAGCGAGGCCUAUCUUAGUUACUAUGGCAACGACGAAUGUAAAAGUUACUGAUCCUGCGUCAGCUGAGG